CCCAGUGUGGUCUAAUGUUAAGAUAGAUGACUUUGUGAUGAGGUAUAAUCUACCUUGUUAAAUUCAUCAGAUCCAGGUGCAAGUCCUGGCAUUGGGU